rnacentral:rRNA from 1 species
CACUCCCAGCUCGGGGAGGUAGUGACGAAAAAUAACGAUACGGGACUCAUCCGAGGCCUCGUAAUCGGAAUGAGUACACUUUAAAACCUUGGUCACACGAGGAUCAAUUGGAGGGCAAGUCUGGUGCCAGCAGCCGCGGUAAUUCCAGCUCCAAUAGCGUAUAUUAAAGUUGUUGCGGUUAAAAAGCUCGUAGUCGGAUCUGUGUCCACGCGACGCCGGACCACCAUGUGCAGCGUCGCGCUCUGCGCGUAUGCGGCCGGGUGUUUGUUACUGGCGUGUCAGCGGGACGUCCUGCCGGUAGGCGGACACGCGCUCUUCGGAGUGGCGCCCGUCGCUCAAAUCUGCGUGUGCGGGUCUUCGCGACUCGUACAGCGGGCCGGCACGUUUACUUUGAACAAAUUAGAGUGCUCAAAGCAGGCUUGAACGUGGCGGGGUACGCUUNGCGUGCCUNCGUUGUACAGCCCUGAAUAUGGUCGCAUGGAAUAAUGGAACAAGACCUCGGUCCCGCCUCUACGCUGUCCUGCAGCGCGUGAACGUAGCCCUCGCGGCCGUUCCGUGCGCGGGUCGCCGAUCGAGGUCCUGCAUUCGCGUCCGCGUCGCCCGGUCCACUCCUCGCGAGUGCGUCUCGGUCACCGUGCGCGGGUUACGCAUUGUCGGGGCUAGCCUCGAUUGUUGGCCGGUUUUCGGGACCGGAGGUAAUGAUCAACAGAGACAGGCGUGGGCAUUCGUACCGUGACGUU